GAGAAAAAAAAAACACUUCUAGAACUCUCCGACCCAAACAGUUACAGAACAGGAAAAAUCAGAUUCUUGAGAAGACUUUUUCUUCAUCCUUCGUCUACAACAAUAUCAUAUACAAUUGAAACAUCAAUCGAAAUCCAAUUUUCACAAUAAUUUACGGAAUCCAGUGAAUACAACACUAAAUCUGUUGUUAUAUUCGAAGAUAAGCAAUUUCAAUUUUCACUUUUUCAUUUAUCUGGUUUUGGGUUUGUUUUUUUGUUUGUAUUUCUGGACAAAGUAUUGAGAUUUCUAUCAGGUGUUAAUUAUUGUUUUAUAAAUCUAUUGUCAGGUUCUUGCUAAUAUUUAAUAGAUCCUAAGACAGAUAGAUAGCUCGCAAGCGAAACUGUAUCGCCAUCAGCACCUUAAGCCCUUUUUUAGAAGUAAUUCUUGAUAUAGCCACAUAUAGCUGACCAUCAACGUUGCUCAAAGACUGUCCCUGACUUCUCUGGUGAAAUUAGUAUACUGUCUCCACGAAUGAAUGAUCCGCACCUGAAUCUUCCAAGUCGUCUUGAAAGGCUUAAUGUUGGUGAGGCUCGUGAUUCCAUUAUUUGCAGCCAUUUUUUUUGUAGAUUAUAAAAUGUGUAUGGAGUAUAUUGUUGUACGCUAUACUGAUAAUUGCAGAGCUAUCUAUUUAUAGUUCGAGACCCAUGUAUUUAGAA